rnacentral:lncRNA from 1 species
AAAAGAAGCUUUUAUCUUUUGCAGGUACGUGCUCUGCUGAGCACUCUGUCAGGUCUGUGACAGUCAACAGCAAAUAAGGAUCUGCAAUGCAGAGCACAAGUUGUCAUUAUCAACUGAGACAUUCCAUCUAAAACCAGAUGGAGAGAGAUGCCACUCCUUGUUUUACAAAAUGCACAUUGAGAAGAGCUGGGUUCUAGUCACGCCCUCAAAAGAUGGAAGCACAGACCAAGUUAUGUAACCUCUCCAGGCUACUUCUGUCCUGAACUGCAGCGGUCUCUGAGGUAGGUCAGCUUCCCUUCUCAUUUGUUCCAUGGUUUCUGGGAAGAUUUCCACCUGGAAUAAAGUUUACAAGAGCAAAGAUAAGAAUGUCA